ACUGCCACAGUGCUCUUGUGAAAGCCCACCUCCGUCUACUGACCCAAGAACAUCAGCUGCACAUGACUUGAGGGAUGCUCUCCAAUACAGACCCCUUAGUGCUCUUCAGAACACCCAAGGUCACGGAGAUAAGAAAGGGCAUGCAUCUCAACUCAGAGGAGCCCCAGCCCUGGUGCUUGGUCACCUGUGAACUGGAUCUCACAGUUGCAAUCACAAUUUUCCAGCCUGCCUUCUUCAUCGCCUUCACCCUCAAGGAAGUUACUCCGGAGUGUGCUCCAGAAGAAUGAAAGGGUAAACCAGGAAAGAGGAAGAGAUACAAACAAUGAAUCCUAACCCUGGCUGGCGGAGCACCAGAGUUCUGGACAGCUGUGUGGCCCUGGUGAGACGGCUUACUGGGUGAAGCAUUUGCUCUCCAAGACUAAUGACCUGAGUUGGACUACUGAAACCUACAAGUAAAGGAGAGAACUCACUCCUGAAAGUCAUCCUACGGUCUCCACACGGUCUCCACACUCGUGCCAUGGCAUGCCCUGACACCUACACUUCACACACAACAACAACAAUAAUAAUAAAGAAAAUGA